UGAUGACUUCAGAGGGUAGGAGUGGUCCAGUUCCCCUGUAGGAAUAUUGAGGAGAUGGACUCCUUUUGCCCCAGUGUGUCCUGUGUCUACCUUGUUCUUACAGCUCAGGAGCGAAGAUCUGAUUGCUGAAUUUGCCCAAGUCACAAAUUGGUCCAGCUGCUGCUUGCGUGUCUUUGCAUGGCACCCCCACACCAACAAGUUUGCAGUGGCCCUGCUAGAUGACUCAGUCCGUGUGUAUAAUGCCAGCAGCACCAUAGUCCCCUCCCUGAAGCACCGGCUGCAGCGAAAUGUGGCGGCUCUGGCCUGGAAGCCCCUUAGUGCCUCUGUCUUGGCUGUGGCCUGCCAGAGCUGCAUUCUUAUCUGGACCCUGGACCCUACCUCCUUGUCUACCCGACCCUCUUCUGGCUGUGCCCAAGUGCUGUCUCAUCCUGGGCAUACACCUGUUACCAGCUUGGCCUGGGCCCCCAGUGGGGGGCGACUACUCUCAGCUUCACCCGUGGAUGCUGCUAUCCGGGUAUGGGAUGUCUCAACAGAGACCUGUGUCCCCCUUCCCUGGUUUCGAGGAGGUGGGGUGACCAACCUGCUCUGGUCCCCAGAUGGCAGCAAAAUCCUGGCUACCACUCCUUCAGCUGUCUUUCGAGUCUGGGAGGCCCAGAUGUGGACUUGUGAGAGGUGGCCUACUCUAUCAGGGCGCUGUCAGACUGGCUGCUGGAGCCCAGAUGGCAGCCGACUGCUGUUCACUGUAUUGGGAGAGCCACUGAUUUACUCC
rnacentral:sRNA from 1 species